rnacentral:rRNA from 1 species
GACGGAGGGUGCAAGCGUUAUUCGGAAUUAUUGGGCGUAAAGAGCGUGUAGGCGGCCGGUUAAGUCAGGUGUGAAAGCCCGGGGCUCAACGUCGGAAGUGCACUUGAAACUGGUCGGCUUGAGUUCGGGAGAGGGAAGCGGAAUUCCGGGUGUAGAGGUGAAAUUCGUAGAGAUCCGGUGGAACAUCGGUGGCGAAGGCGGCUUCCUGGACCGAAACUGACGCUGAGACGCGAAAGAGUGGGGAGCAAACAGG